CCCUGGGCUGGAUCCCCAGCACCAAUAAGUAAGUAAACAAAUAUUUACAAAACACAAGAAAGGUGUCUCUCUCAGGAAAGUAGCAACUCAGAAGAAAACCUGGCUUACCUAAGGUCUUUGGGAGACAGAGGAUACUUAACUUCUUUUGCUUCCCUUUGGCUGCAAACAUGC
rfam:Ictidomys tridecemlineatus contig030258, whole genome shotgun sequence.